CCUACGGGUGGCAGCAGUGGGGGAUAUUGCACAAUGGGGGAAACCCUGAUGCAGCGACGCAGCGUGAGGGAAGACGGUCCUCUGGAUUGUAAACCACUGUCCCCAGGGACGAAGGUGACGGUACCUGGGGAGGAAGCUCCGGCUAACUAAGUGCCAGCAGCCGCGGUAAUAGGUAGGGAGCGAGUGUUGUCCGGAAUUACGGGGUGAAAAGGGAGGGUAGGCGGGUCUGAAAGUUGGGUGUCAAAUCUACCGGCUCAACCGGUAGCCGCACUCAAAACUGCAGUUCUUGAGUGAAGUAGAGGCAGGCGGAAUUCCUAGUGUAGCGGUGAAAUGCGUAGAUAUUAGGAGGAACUCCAGUGGCGAAGGCGGCCUGCUGAGCUUUUGCUGACGCUGAGGCUCGAAAGUGUGGGGAGCAAACAGGAUUAGAUACCCCUGUAGUC
rnacentral:rRNA from 1 species